AUUGAACGCUGGCGGCAGGCCUAACACAUGCAAGUCGAGCGGAUGAAGGGAGCUUGCUCCUGGAUUCAGCGGCGGACGGGUGAGUAAUGCCUAGGAAUCUGCCUGGUAGUGGGGGAUAACGUCCGGAAACGGGCGCUAAUACCGCAUACGUCCUGAGGGAGAAAGUGGGGGAUCUUCUGACCUCACGCUAUCAGAUGAGCCUAGGUCGGAUUAGCUAGUUGGUGGGGUAAAGGCCUACCAAGGCGACGAUCCGUAACUGGUCUGAGAGGAUGAUCAGUCACACUGGGACUGAGACACGGUCCAGACUCCUACGGGAGGCAGCAGUGGGGAAUAUUGGACAAUGGGCGAAAGCCUGAUCCAGCCAUGCCGCGUGUGUGAAGAAGGUCUUCGGAUUGUAAAGCACUUUAAGUUGGGAGGAAGGGCAGUAAGUUAAUACCUUGCUGUUUUGACGUUACCAACAGAAUAAGCACCGGCUAACUUCGUG
rnacentral:rRNA from 1 species